rnacentral:rRNA from 1 species
GACGAAGGAUGCAAGCGUUAUCCGGAUUCAUUGGGUUUAAAGGGUGCGUAGGCGGACCUGUAAGUCAGUGGUGAAAUCUCUUUGCUUAACAAAGAAACUGCCAUUGAUACUGCAAGUCUAGAGUAUAGAUGACGUUGGCGGAAUAUGACAUGUAGUGGUGAAAUACUUAGAUAUGUCAUAGAGCACCGAUUGCGAAGGCAGCUAACGAAACUAUAACUGACGCUGAGGCACGAAAGUGCGGGGAUCAAACAGG